rnacentral:misc_RNA from 1 species
CUGUUCUACGUCCUGUGUCAGUGAAAGCAAAAUGUUCUUCAAACGUUCAAUCAACCCCAGAAAUUGAAAAGAAGUAUGUCCAUGGUGUUUAUGAUGCCAUUGCUCCCCAUUUCAGUUCCACUCGGUUUGCGAAGUGGCCUAAAGUGUCAGCUUUCUUAAGCUCAUUAUCUCCCGGUUCUCUCAUCUUAGACUCUGGUUGUGGAAAUGGGAAAUACUUAGGAUUAAAUCCUGAUUGUUUCUUCAUUGGCUGUGACAUUAGUGCGGCUCUUAUUAAUAUAUGUGCAGAUAAAGAGCAGGAAGUUUUGGUUGCAGAUGCUGUGAACCUACCAUAUAGGACGGGUUAUGGUGAUGCAGCAAUUUCUAUAGCUGUGUUGCAUCACCUUAGUACUGAAAGUAGGAGGAGGAAAGCGGUAGAGGAGCUUGUCCGUGUUGUUAAAAAGGGCGGGUGUGUUUUAAUUACUGUCUGGGCUAGGGAGCAAGAAGACAGUUCGUUGAUUGAAAAGUGGACUCCACUUAACCAAAGGUAUGUAGAGGAAUGGAUAGGACCAGGGAGUCCUCGAGUUCGCAACCCUUCAUCUCCUCGUAUCCUUGAAAGCAUCCCAGAAGCAGAGGAAAAUAGUGCCGUGGAGCAGUUGAAAGGUCUACAUGCAAACUCUUCUAAAGUAAAAUCAGCUGAAGUUAUGCACCCAACAUCUCUGGAUGAAGGUCAUUCUUUGCCUACUGGAUCUGGAAAAGGUUAUUUAGAGCAGCAGGAAUUUUUCGUUCCCUGGCACUUACCUUAUCAUCGAGCUGAAGUUAGUGGGGCUUCAGCUGUUGCCUUGGCUAGUGGUUUGGCAAAGAAAGAUGAUAAGAAGGGCUCUGUGGUAUACAAUAGAUAUUACCAUGUUUUUAGUGAAGG